rnacentral:ncRNA from 1 species
GGUCAUGGUGAAUUUGAAAUAAGCAAAUUAUAAACUUCUAGCCUGAUGAACAGAAAUUAUAAAUUGUAAUAGUUAUGGUAAAGAUUGCAAUACAGGUUGAAGUUUAGUCAAUUUGUAGGACUAUCUUAGAUGAAAGGGGGGAGUGAUGUAGAGAAAGGUUGU